UACGUAGGGGGCGAGCGUUGUCCGGAUUUAUUGGGCGUAAAGAGCGUGUAGGCGGUUCGGUAAGUCUGUCGUGAAAUCCUGAGGCUCAACCUCGGGCGUGCGAUGGAUACUGCCGGGCUAGAGGGUGGUAGAGGCGAGUGGAAUUCCUGGUGUAGCGGUGGAAUGCGCAGAUAUCAGGAGGAACACCGAUGGCGAAGGCAGGUCUCUGGGCCACUACUGACGCUGAGAAGCGAAAGCAUGGGGAGCGAACAGG
rnacentral:rRNA from 1 species